rnacentral:rRNA from 1 species
CACGACUACGAGUUUGAUCCUGGCUCAGAGUGAACGCUGGCGGCAGGCCUAACACAUGCAAGUCGAGCGGCAGCGCGGGGGCAACCCUGGCGGCGAGCGGCGGACGGGUGAGGAAUGCAUCGGAAUCUACCUCGUUGUGGGGGAUAACCUCGGGAAACCGGGACUAAUACCGCAUACGACCUACGGGUGAAAGUGGGGGACCUUCGGGCCUCACGCGAUGAGAUGAGCCGAUGCCGGAUUAGCUAGUUGGCGGGGUAAAGGCCCACCAAGGCGACGAUCCGUAGCUGGUCUGAGAGGAUGAUCAGCCACACUGGAACUGAGACACGGUCCAGACUCCUACGGGAGGCAGCAGUGGGGAAUAUUGGACAAUGGGCGCAAGCCUGAUCCAGCCAUGCCGCGUGUGUGAAGAAGGCCUUCGGGUUGUAAAGCACUUUUGUUGGGGAAGAAACCGGUCGGAUUAAUACUUCGGCUGAAUGACGGUACCCAAAGAAUAAGCACCGGCUAACUUCGUG